UGAGCAAUCUGCCCUUCUCUUCGGAAUAAGCGUGGGAAACCGCGUCUAAUGCCGAAUACGACCUCCUUUCGCAUGAUCGGAGGUGGAAAGCUCCGGCGGAGAAGGAUGAGCUCGCGGCCUAUCAGCUAGUUGGUGUGGGUAAUGGCCCACCAAGGCGACGACGGGUAGCCGGCCUGAGGAGGGUGACCGGCCACACUGGGACUGAGACACGGCCCAGACCUCCGUACGGGAGGNAGCG
rnacentral:rRNA from 1 species